GAUUUGAAACUGACUGCAUUUGGUGUAAAAAGACAAUGAGGGUGAUGACUAGAGGACCAGCUGCCUACGUAUGUCAUCACACAAGGUUGAUGUUGUUUUACGUAUAUUGAUACCUUAAUAAGCAUAUAUAUUAAUUAGCAAUUUGCAUGAUUUUUUUUUUAUAAAAUAACAAUAUUUUUCUUAACCUUGUUUCUGAUUCUCCCAUUUGCCUCUGCCUGUUCCCUUCCCUUUCCUGCAUCCACUCACCUGUGAUUAGCCCUUCUGCUCCCUUUGGCUGUGUUUACAUAGCAGGUGUUGAUGCUCAAUCCCGAUAUUUGAUAUGAUUGUUUAUUGUGUGUGCGCGUGUGUGUGCGUGUGUGUGUGUGUGUGCGUGGUCACACU